rnacentral:misc_RNA from 1 species
GUGACAGAUAAUAUGUAAAGGAGAAAGUAUCAUUUACGAGGUUGACUAGAAAAACCUUUCUUUUCUUUUUUUUGUUUGAUAACUGAUUAAGUCAAAUUAUAUAGACAUUUAAGAUUAACAUUCAUUGCAUUUAGUUGGCAAUUAGUCUCCUUUCAUGUUUAUUUUUAUGUGUUUUUAGUAUUAUUUUAGAAAACGUGUUAAUCUAACUCAAUUCA